rnacentral:tRNA from 1 species
CGACAAAACCUAGCCUUCCAAGCUAACGACGG